CGAUGUGGGAAGGCCCAGACAGCCAGGAUGUUGGCUUAGAAGCAGCCAUCAUUUAAAGAAAGCGUAAUAGCUCACUGGUCGAGUCGGCCUGCGCGGAAGAUGUAACGGGGCUAAACCAUGCACCGAAGCUGCGGCAGCGAACGUAUCACCCAAGACAACUUUACGGAGUUGACGAUUGACGGAGCGAAGCGACGUCAAAGCGUUCAUUAAAGUCGAGUUGGCUUAGGGAUACGUUCGUUGGGUAGGGGAGCGUUCUGUAAGCCUGUGAAGGUGUGUCGUGAGGCAUGCUGGAGGUAUCAGAAGUGCGAAUGCUGACAUAAGUAACGAUAAAGCGGGUGAAAAGCCCGCUCGCCGGAAGACCAAGGGUUCCUGUCCAACGUUAAUCGGGGCAGGGUGAGUCGACCCCUAAGGCGAGGCCGAAAGGCGUAGUCGAU
rnacentral:rRNA from 1 species